rnacentral:misc_RNA from 1 species
GAUGAAGAACGCAGCGAAAUGCGAUAAGUAGUGUGAAUUGCAGAAUUCAGUGAAUCAUCGAAUCUUUGAACGCACAUUGCGCCCCUUGGUAUUCCAUGGGGCAUGUCUGUUCGAGCGUCAUUUGUACCUUCAAGCUUUGCUUGGUGUUGGGUGUUUGUCCAUUCUCUUGCAGAGGGACUCGCCUUAAAGUAAUUGGCAGCCAGUGUUUUGGUUUUGAAGCGCAGCACAAGUCGCGAUUCAACGCUAUACGCCAGCUUCCACAAGCCUUUUUCACUUUUGACCUCGGAUCAGGUAGGGAUACCCGCUGAACUUAAGCAUAUCAAUAAGCGGAGGA